rnacentral:rRNA from 1 species
AAUCCAUAGGUUAAUGAGGCGAACCGGGGGAACUGAAACAUCUAAGUACCCCGAGGAAAAGAAAUCAACCGAGAUUCCCCCAGUAGCGGCGAGCGAACGGGGAGGAGCCCAGAGCCUGAAUCAGCAUGUGUGUUAGUGGAAGCGUCUGGAAAGGCGCGCGAUACAGGGUGACAGCCCCGUACACAAAAGCGCAUGUGCUGUGAGCUCGAUGAGUAGGGCGGGACACGUGGUAUCCUGUCUGAAUAUGGGGGGACCAUCCUCCAAGGCUAAAUACUCCUGACUGACCGAUAGUGAACCAGUACCGUGAGGGAAAGGCGAAAAGAACCCCGGCGAGGGGAGUGAAAAAGAACCUGAAACCGUGUACGUACAAGCAGUGGGAGCACAGGUUUACCUGUGUGACUGCGUACCUUUUGUAUAAUGGGUCAGCGACUUAUAUUCUGUAGCAAGGUUAACCGAAUAGGGGAGCCGGAGGGAAACCGAGUCUUAAUUGGGCGUUAAGUUGCAGGGUAUAGACCCGAAACCCGGUGAUCUAGCCAUGGGCAGGUUGAAGGUUGGGUAACACUAACUGGAGGACCGAACCGACUAAUGUUGAAAAAUUAGCGGAUGACCUGUGGCUGGGGGUGAAAGGCCAAUCAAACCGGGAGAUAGCUGGUUCUCCCCGAAAGCUAUUUAGGUAGCGCCUCGUGAAUUCAUCUCCGGGGGUAGAGCACUGUUUCGGCUAGGGGGCCAUCCCGGCUUACCAACCCGAUGCAAACUGCGAAUACCGGAGAAUGUUAUCACGGGAGACACACGGCGGGUGCUAACGUCCGUCGUGAAGAGGGAAACAACCCAGACCGCCAGCUAAGGUCCCAAAGUCAUGGUUAAGUGGGAAACGAUGUGGGAAGGCCCAGACAGCCAGGAUGUUGGCUUAGAAGCAGCCAUCAUUUAAAGAAAGCGUAAUAGCUCACUGGUCGAGUCGGCCUGCGCGGAAGAUGUAACGGGGCUAAACCAUGCACCGAAGCUGCGGCAGCGACACUCAGGUGUUGUUGGGUAGGGGAGCGUUCUGUAAGCCUGCGAAGGUGGCCUGUGAGGG